GACGAACGCUGGCGGCGUGCCUAAUACAUGCAAGUCGACCUUAGUGGCGGACGGGUGAGUAACACGUGGGUAACCUGCCCAUCAGAGGGGGAUACCACUUGGAAACAGGUGCUAAUACCGUAUCCUGAUGGUUGGACCCGCGGUGCAUUAGCUAGUUGGGGAGGUAACGGCUCACCAAGUCCACGACGCAUAGCGGACCUGAGAGGUGGAUCGGCAACAGUGGGACUGAGAAACGGCCCAAACGCCUAGGGGAGGCAGCAGUAGGGAAGCUUCGGCAAUGGACGAAAGUCUGACCGAGCAACGCCGCGUGAGUGAAGAAGGUUUUCGGAUCGUAAAACUCUGUUGUUAGAGAAGCGGUAUCUAACCAGAAAGCCACGGCUAACUACGGGCCAGCAGCCGCGGUAAUAC
rnacentral:rRNA from 1 species